rnacentral:rRNA from 1 species
AUGGAUAAGACGGAUGAAGGCUACGCUAUGACGGCCUCUAUCUGCAACCCCAUCACUCGUCAAUAUGCUCCCCUGCACCAUCUUGAUGGCUUUAGCUUCUUGGGGAUGUAUCCACACAGCCCUACCGACGAGUACCGACUAUUGCUGCACCUGGCCCCGAGGUUCAAGGAUGAUGCUCAAAGUGGCUCCUACGUUUUCACAUUAGGCUCCGACCAACCGCCGAGGCACGUAGGGUGCCCUGAUGCCAAGGAACUGCUGCAUUCCCCCAGAUCUGUCCUUUUCCAUGGUAGCCUGCAUUGGCACACAGAGCGGCUGAUAAUGGUAUUUGACACCAUCUCAGAGUCGUUCCAGCAGAUGCGCUCCCCAAUUGUUCCUGACCAUGUCAUUGGCGACCUGUUUGAGAUGAGUGACAUGCUUGGCAUGUUCAGUCUUAAUGCCGAAGAGACAAUUGUUGAUAUCUGGGUGAUGCUGGACUAUGAGAGCCAAGUUUGGGCCUCCAAAGGCCGGGUUGAGUUGCCGCUUUCAGGGAUUAGGUUGCAAUUAGAAAAGUUUGGCACUUGGUUGGAUCUGGUGACCGCAUCUUGGAACGGUGACGACGUGCUCAUGCUGGUCAAAUUUGAAGACGACUCGCUACUUCAGAUUGACAUUGAUGGCAAGUUGGUUGCUAGUCUCCAUUGCCAAUUCCUCUGUCCUACUCGACUUCGCCUCAAACAGUCUCUAGUUUCACAUACCUUCUUUCCGACACUAGAGGGUUAUGUUGUGAAUGCUUCACCUUUCGUUUGA